rnacentral:rRNA from 1 species
AGGGCACCACCAGGAGUGGAGCCUGCGGCUUAAUUUGACUCAACACGGGGAAACUUACCCGGCCUGGACACUGGAAGGAUUGACAGAUUGAGAGCUCUUUCUUGAUUCAGUGGGUGGUGGUGCAUGGCCGUUCUUAGUUGGUGGAGCGAUUUGUCUGGUUAAUUCCGAUAACGAACGAGACUCUAGCCUAUUAAAUAGGCUCCCGGCUUUUAAACGCCGGGAGGACUUCUCAGAGGGACAGGUGGCGGUUCAGCCGCACGAAAGAGAGCAAUAACAGGUCUGUGAUGCCCUUUGUUGUCCGGGGCCGCACGCGCGCUACACUGAAGAGAUCAGCGUGCUUUAUGUUCCUGCUCCGACCGGAGUGGGGAACCCAGUGAACCUUCUUCGUGAUUGGGAUAGAAGAUUGUAAUUAUUCUUCUUGAACGAGGAAUUCCCAGUAAAUGCGAGUCAUAAGCUCGCGUUGAUUACGUCCCUGCCCUUUGUACACACCGCCCGUCGCUACUACCGAUUGAACGAUUU